GCCGGAAUGGUGGAAUUGGUAGACACGCAGGUUUUAGGUACCUGUGCCCUAGGGCGUGGGGGUUCAAGUCCCCCUUCCGGCA
rnacentral:tRNA from 1 species